AGUGAACGCUGGCGGUAGGCCUAACACAUGCAAGUCGAACGGCAGCACAGUAAGAGCUUGCUCUUACGGGUGGCGAGUGGCGGACGGGUGGGGAAUACAUCGGAAUCUACUUUUUCGGGGGGGAUAACGUAGGGAAACUUACGCUAAUACCGCAUACGACCUACGGGUGAAAGCAGGGGAUCUUCGGACCUUGCGCGAUUGAAUGAGCCGAUGUCGGAUUAGCUAGUUGGCGGGGUAAAGGCCCACCAAGUCGACGAUCCGUAGCUGGUCUGAGAGGAUGAUCAGCCACACUGGAACUGAGACACGGUCCAGACUCCUACGGGAGGCAGCAGUGGGGAAUAUUGGACAAUGGGCGCAAGCCUGAUCCAGCCAUACCGCGUGGGUGAAGAAGGCCUUCGGGUUGUAAAGCCCUUUUGUUGGGAAAGAAAAGCAGCAGGUUAAUACCACGCUGUUCUGACGGUACCCAAAGAAUAAGCACCGGCUAACUUCGUG
rnacentral:rRNA from 1 species